GACGAACGCUGGCGGCGUGCUUAACACAUGCAAGUCGAACGGAAAGGCCCUGCUUUUGUGGGGUGCUCGAGUGGCGAACGGGUGAGUAACACGUGAGUAACCUGCCCUUGACUUUGGGAUAACUUCAGGAAACUGGGGCUAAUACCGGAUAGGAGCUCCUGCUGCAUGGUGGGGGUUGGAAAGUUUCGGCGGUUGGGGAUGGACUCGCGGCUUAUCAGCUUGUUGGUGGGGUAGUGGCUUACCAAGGCUUUGACGGGUAGCCGGCCUGAGAGGGUGACCGGCCACAUUGGGACUGAGAUACGGCCCAGACUCCUACGGGAGGCAGCAGUGGGGAAUAUUGAAAAAUGGGCGGAAGCCUGAUGCAGCAACGCCGCGUGCGGGAUGACGGCCUUCGGGUUGUAAACCGCUUUCGCCUGUGACGAAGCGUGAGUGACGGUAAUGGGUAAAGAAGCACCGGCUAACUACGUG
rnacentral:rRNA from 1 species